rnacentral:rRNA from 1 species
GAUGAACGCUGGCGGCGUGCCUAAUACAUGCAAGUCGAGCGAACGGACGAGAAGCUUGCUUCUCUGAUGUUAGCGGCGGACGGGUGAGUAACACGUGGAUACCCUACCUAUAAGACUGGGAUAACUUCGGGAAACCGUAGCUAAUACCGGAUAAUAUUUUGAACCGCAUGGUUCAAAAGUGAAAGACGGUCUUGCUGUCACUUAUAGAUGGAUCCGCGCUGCAUUAGCUAGUUGGUAAGGUAACGGCUUACCAAGGCAACGAUGCAUAGCCGACCUGAGAGGGUGAUCGGCCACACUGGAACUGAGACACGGUCCAGACUCCUACGGGAGGCAGCAGUAGGGAAUCUUCCGCAAUGGGCGAAAGCCUGACGGAGCAACGCCGCGUGAGUGAUGAAGGUCUUCGGAUCGUAAAACUCUGUUAUUAGGGAAGAACAUAUGUGUAAGUAAAUGUGCACAUCUUGACGGUACCUAAUCAGAAAGCAACGGCUAACUACGUG